AAAACAUUUAUUAGUUUUUUUUUUGAGCAUUAAAAGAUUUAUUAAUUAUACAACAAAUGAACUAACUUUGUUUCAACCCAAAAGAAAUACAAUUAAUAAUAAAUAUGCAAGAAAUUACAAGCUAUAUAUAUCAAACAAUUGUAAAAAGAAAAAUUAUGAUGUAGAUAUAAAUAUAAAAAGAAAUAAUUUUUUAUGUACACAGGACCAAAGUGAUAUAGAUUAUAUUUAUGGUUUAAAUUCGGUGUGCGCAGUACUGGAAAAAAAUGAAAGAGCUAUUAAUAAAGUUAUAGUAAGCUAAAAAAAGAAACAAACUGACUAUUUAACUUGCUAAUGAAUUAGAUAACCAGCUAACGUUGUCUAUUCCUUGUUUUCCUUUUUUUUUUUUUUUUUUUUUUUUUUUUUUGCAAAAUUCAUCAUUGUUCCAUCUUUUUGUUACUAUAUUUAUUGUACGUAUACAUAUAUUUUUCUUUUUUUUUUCAUCUCCUUCUUUACAACUCAGAUAAAUAGAAACAUAAAAUUUACAAAAAAAAUACACAAAAAAACAUAUGAUUAUGUAUUUAAUAAAUUAAAAGAACGAGAAAUAGAAACAUGUAAAAUGGCCAAAAAAGAAAUGGACACACUUGUUGGUGGUUUUCCUCAUAAUGAUAUAAUAAUGCAAGGAAGUUAUCGAUAUAUGAAAAAUUAUAAAUAUUUUUUUNNNNNNNNNNAAAAAAAAAAAAAAAAGUUUAAAACAUUUAUUAGUUUUUUUUUUGAGCAUUAAAAGAUUUAUUAAUUAUACAACAAAUGAACUAACUUUGUUUCAACCCAAAAGAAAUACAAUUAAUAAUAAAUAUGCAAGAAAUUACAAGCUAUAUAUAUCAAACAAUUGUAAAAAGAAAAAUUAUGAUGUAGAUAUAAAUAUAAAAAGAAAUAAUUUUUUAUGUACACAGGACCAAAGUGAUAUAGAUUAUAUUUAUGGUUUAAAUUCGGUGUGCGCAGUACUGGAAAAAAAUGAAAGAGCUAUUAAUAAAGUUAUAAUAAAUAGAAACAUAAAAUUUACAAAAAAAAUACACAAAAAAACAUAUGAUUAUGUAUUUAAUAAAUUAAAAGAACGAGAAAUAGAAACAUGUAAAAUGGCCAAAAAAGAAAUGGACACACUUGUUGGUGGUUUUCCUCAUAAUGAUAUAAUAAUGCAAGGAAGUUAUCGAUAUAUGA
rnacentral:lncRNA from 1 species